rnacentral:rRNA from 2 species
GGAUUGGCUCUGAGGGUUGGGUAAUGGGGUCCAUAUCUCGAACCCUGAGUUUGGCCGAAACUGCUAGGACUCUCGGGGGCUAGUGGAUUUGGCUAGAUUUAGGAUGACGGAUAUGGACUGUUCUUCGGAACGUCCUAUUGCAGUGAACACUAUACUCAGAACU